rnacentral:lncRNA from 1 species
GGUCAUCCCUGAUCACGAAGAAACGCAACACACUAUAAGCUCUAAAAUUUCUUUUAGACUCCAUUUUUAGCACUUCGUACUUUUCUUUAUAUUAGUUAUAUAUAAAUACACCGUUCAUCUCUCUUCUUCAAAUCAAAAUUCAAAUUGGAAGUUCUUGCAUUCCCCAUCUUUCCAACUAAUUUGUGGUCUCUUUGGCAAAACAAAAUUAAUUUAUAGGUCAAACCAUGAGAAGCAAAGCAAACGUGCAAAGCAAGUUCAAGCACUACAUGGAAAAACCCAGAAAGAUUUUACGCAAGGCCAGAGACUUCUAUGUGAGGAGCAUGGAGGAUUGUGCAAAUAUGAUCAGUUACGGCGGCGUGAUGGCCGGGCCCGGGAUACAAGUAUCAAAUUUACCGAGAAGUUUUAGCGUCAAUUACUCGAAUUCAAGGAACAAGGAAACAUUUAGAGAAGCUUCAGCUGCAGUGAAUAAUAAAAUAAGAAAUGAUAAGGACUUGAAUUAUGUGAAGGAAAAAGAAUUGGAACGGCAAAAGUUGGAGAAUAGGUCAAUGAAGAGAAGCUACACUAGUGCCGGAUUGGGAAAAAUUCGAACUAUUGAUGAGGACAAGCCUUGUUAUUUUGAAGACGAUAUGAUUUAUGCUAGAAGCAGAAGUUGGGCUCUCAGGAGAAAUUUUUAGUAUUGCUGUCAUACAUUGGAAAAUUGAGAUUGAUUGUGAUUUUGAACAAUAUUUGAAUGGAUUCUCUAAAAUUCAUUAAUUGGUUUAGUUACGUGUACAAGGUGUGCAUGUUGCAUGCAUAUAAUAUGGAUAAUGACCGUUUGUUCUAAGAAAUUACGUAAUGAAAUUUGUUUGUUAUCCAUAUAGUUGAAAAUUUACAUCACCAUAAUUUAACAAUUGUGUCACUUUUAUGCUUCUUUUUAAUAUAAUCAAUCAUAAUAAAACAAUAAUGCUAGACAUUCCAAAUUCUAUCCUAACAUUUUUUUCUCAAAUAAUGCAGCAUGUGUCAUGUGAUGUGGCACUCAGCUACUUUUGUUUAUUUAUUUUUUAUUUAACUCACACAUCCACUGAAACUCAAAUUCAAGACCUAAGUUUUAGAAAGACCUAUUCCUUAUUACUAGAACUAGAUCCUAUUUUAAUCAUCAUCCUCUUGAUGACUGAUCAUAUAUCCUAUCAUUUAAGAUAAAAUUUUAAGUAUUUUAAGUAUUUGACAUUACUGUAGAAGUAAGUGCUUGAUAAGAAUGCAAUGAUGUUUGUUAAAUGUAUGCAAGAAGCUUUUGACACUAAUAAAGUGGCAGUGAGCUAGAGUUACCAAACUGAUAUGGAGCAUGAAUCAGUAUUGGCUCAAGAACAAUCGAGAGUUAGUUAGAGGGGUCCGGCUACGGUGCAACGGUGGUACCGUGCCACCGUUGGAUCCACUUGGAUGGAUGGAUCUAUUGGGAUCCAAUGACUGAAUACAACAGUGGCACGGUACCACCAUUGCACCAUAGUUUUCUCCUAGUUAGAGAUAAGGUAAAAACAAAGAAAGAAGACAACGAUCAUGUGAUAUAUGUAUGGUACAAUAGCACCCGCCAUUAGAUCAAUUGAUUUGCAACCAUUAGAUUAAUGACAGCUGUAACUAGGGCAACAUAGGCUUUCUAUCAAGGUAUGCACUGAUGUAUAAUUAAAAAAGAAAGUGAAUGAAAACAACAUGCUGUGUACCAUCAAUUAUUCCUCUUGCAUGUGCCAUCUGUCAUGACAACUUAAGAUAGAUAGAAAUUUAACUAUUGCUGGUGCUUCUGCUACUAAUAAUAAUAAUAAUAAAGAAAAUUUGAAACAUGUGUUGCUACUAAUAAUAAUAAUAAUAAAAAUUUGAAAUACGUGGUAUGAUUUUAUUAGAUGGUCUUAUUGGGACCAUUUUAUUCAAACUUAUUAUUAUUGGAUGAUCUUACGGGAACCAUUCAAUUGAAACAUUUGUCAUUUUGAAUUUUGAAAAAUAAAUAACACAUUAGUUAUUUAUGACCAAAAGACCUUACGUGUUUUUAGAAUAAUUGACUUAAAUUAUAAAGAUUAAAUGAAUAUAGCCAAGUUGUUAAUUUUGAAAGAAAUUCAGAUGGAACGGCAAGCAGCUUGGUUGCUAAUUCUAUGUAAAAAGGACACAUGUCAACACAAUAGAACUCUUUAAACAAAUGUUUUCUUUGAAAAAAAUAUCUUUUAACAAAUAAAUUAGAUUAUUAAAAUGAGAAAAAACUUCAAAAUUGAGAGCAUCGGCACUUAAUUUCUCAGCCCUGGAGAGAAGAUGCUUGUCAUUUUGCAUUGAUCAAUGUUAAGGAACUAAGAAUCAAAACAAAAUAUUAUUAUAAAUUCAUUUGAAACUUAUGAAUUUAUUGUCAACUUGAUGAUUGAGACAUUAUUUGACAUAAAAUUUUGAGAUACAAUUUGAGAUAUUUAACAUUAUUCAUAAUAAUAAUAAUAAAUUAAAAAUUAAAACAUCUAAUAUGAUUUUAUUAUUAGAUGUUUUAAUUUUUCUUAUUUUAGGAGAAGUUGGUCAGUGAUCAUUAACUUUUUCAAGUCGAGGUUAAGUUAAGAUAUUUAGUUCUCAAAUAAAAUUUCCUUAAAUUAGUAAAAAUUAGGCUACUUAUCCUGUAGAUGUGAAUCCACCUUAUAUUAUAAUAUGCCUCUAUAAUUUUGAAAUAUAAGACAAGCAUUUGGUCAUCGAUCAUCCCCGAUCACGAAGAAACUCAACACACUAUAAGCUCUAAAAUUUCCUUUAGACUCCAUUUUUUUUUUUUUUUUUUUUCAUCGGUCAUCCCUGAUCACGAAGAAACGCAACACACUAUAAGCUCUAAAAUUUCUUUUAGACUCCAUUUUAACACUUCAUACUUCUUCUUUAUAUUGGUUAUAUAUAAAUACACCGUUCAUCUCUCUUCUUCAAAUCAAAAUUCAAUUUGGAAGUUCUUGAAUUCACUAUCUUUCCAACUAAUUUGUGGUCUCUUUGGCAAAACAAAAUUAAUUUAUAGGUCAAACCAUGAGAAGCAAAGCAAACAUGCAAAGCAAGUUCAAGCACUACAUGGAAAAACCCAGAAAGAUUUUACACAAGGCCAGAGACUUCUAUGUGAAGAGCAUGGAGGAUUGUGCAAAUAUGAUCAGUUACGGCGGCGUGAUGGCCGGCCCCGGGAUACAAGUAUCGAAUUUACAGAGGAGUUUUAGCGUCAAUUACUCGAACUCAAGGAACAAGGAAACAUUUAGAGAAGCUUCAGCUGCAGUGAAUAAUAAAAUAAGAAAUGAUAAGGACUUGAAUUAUGUGAAGGAAAAAGAAUUGGAACGGCAAAAGUUGGAGAAUAGGUCAAUGAAGAGAAGCUACACUAGUGCCGGAUUGGGAAAAAUUCGAACUAUUGAUGAGGACAAGCCUUGUAAUUUUGAAGACGAUAUGAUUUAUGCUAGAAGCAGAAGUUGGG